GGCGAACCGGUGCGACCCGUGCUCGUAUUGAGCUUGUGUGCCGCGUCGAGUUUGUCAUCCUUCCAGAGAGCAGCGUCUACCAUUUACUUGGCCGGACGUUCGUGAUCUGGAUCGAUUACUUUGAAAAAAUUAGAGUGUUUAAAGCAGGCUUACGCUGUGAAUACAUUAGCAUGGAAUAAUAAUAUAGGACUUCGGUUCUAUUUUGUUGGUUUCUAGGACUGAAGUA
rnacentral:rRNA from 1 species